CCCUCCAUUUCUUCUCUAACUAUCUGGCAAUGUCCUUUGCUGGAAAAGGCGUUUGAAGGGGAGCUGAGGAAGCUCCCGAAGUACAUCAGAUAUCCAGAAUAUAUGAUAUCAGGAAGAAAAUCAAUUUAAUCCAACUUGACGAGGUACUGCUAUUUUCAAGUUAUUUUCCUUUUAGCAAGUGAUCAAUCACUAUUUCAGAGUACAUUUUGUUAUUAUUUUACUGCAAAUUACAAGCAGGAUUUUGUUAUUGCUAUGAAUCUAGGAUAACUAAAAUGUUGGCCCUAAGAAAAUUCAACUGAUUGUUAUUGCUUGUACUAAAUGCAUGAAAAGAACAUAUUAUUCACAUAACAUCCUGUAUUAUCAUGUUUGCAUUUAAUUUUCUUAAGAUCAAUCCUUAAUUGCUUUUGUUGUCAUUGAGAGAAUCAAUUUACUUUUACCACAAAUGAUUUUAUCACUUUGUUCAUUGCCUAUCUGUUGGGUUUCUAGGCAGUCUGAGGAACUACUUCACAACUAUAAAUGGGAAAUAAAACAACUUAUCAGCACACAAAAGGUUCAAGUGGUCCAUGUACUCUGCUUUGCAUAGCCAUCCAUUUUUCUUGAUGUUGUUAUUAUCAUCCGUUGUUCUGUAUCCUUGCAUUGAUUUAAGCAUCAAACUUUGAAACUCAAAGUAUUUGCAGAACUCUCUGAUGUUGUCACGACCCGAUUCCCGGAUCCAUGACCGGCACAUAGGCAAGGUUCCCCUCCAAGGUUCCAAACCUAUGCGAACCCAAACUUACAUACAAUCCUUUAAACAACUCAAUCAGAGUUUAACGCAUCAUUAACAACAAGCUAACUUCAUAAUAUAAUGUAAUUGUCUUAAUACAAGAGUUCAUAUCAUUUCAUCGUUUUGGAGCACUACCUUGACACAAAAGGAAGGUACAAAUUGCAGAACUCUCUAAUGUUGUCACGACCCGAUUCCCGGAUCCAUGACCGGCACAUAGGAAAGGUUCCCCUCCAAGGUUACUUUUGUUGAACCUUUCGAACCUGCUAUCAAGCUAUAAGCCUGAAAAGGAUAAAUAAUGAGAGGGUGAGUUCAACAACUCAGUGAGUAGAUAAAGUUCAAUAUACACACACGAGGUAAUAUAACAAUGAGAAAUAUAUAUACAAGUAUGGCUUUAGUUCUUAUACGAAGGUUUAUCAGCCAUAACAAGAAUAUCAUAUGGUAAAACUCGUCAGAAAAUCAAAAUGCAAUGAGCAUGAGGCUCCGUACUGUGGGAUGAUCAGUCCACACAUGUUGGUGACUCCCCCGACCAACUAGGGUUCAGAUACGAUGUGCACAAAGACUAACACUACCCUGUUAGCAUGGGUAUUCUGACUGACAUACCAUAGGUUCAUAAUCAUAAUCAAACAAACAUAUUCAUAUCUCAAAGCUCAACUCAUGACAUCCAUCAAAUGAGGAGCUAUCAAUUCAGAAGUCAAUCAUAUUGGUUCAUAUCAAGAAAUCAGAUUCAAUAAUUGAUCAUGCUUUAUCAUAUCAAGGAUAAUAAUCAGCAUAUAUAUUAUCAAGAAGCAUGAUCCAAUUCAUAUUAACAAAUCAAAUAUUUAUAAUAUUUCUCAUGCAUAUGGAAAAUUAUCCACUCACCUGACUCAAAAGCAAACAGAACACAAAAGCAGAAACCGAAGGAAAUUCUACUGACGUCCUGCCGGUAGAAUAUCAGGAUUAUCUGAAUACAAAGGAGACAUAUUCAAAAACGACUCGAAAGAACAUUUAACCUAUUUAAUACACUUAACUAAGGGUGUAUUCUGUAACCCUAUAUGUUUUUGAACUAACUAGUCAAUUUUCUUAAAAACCCAAAAUCUAACGGUUUUCCCGAAAUCUAAUCCAUAAUAAAAACAACUAAUAAAAUUGGUAAUAAUUCACUAAAUAACCCUUAAUUAUUCAUCAAACUAAUCUGAAAAAGCUAAUAUUACAGCUAGGGACUAAUCUGGAAUUUUUCUAUUUUUAGGGCCAAAUUGUAACUUUUUCAAUGGAGGACCAAACUGAAAUUUGUCAUAAAUCCAUGAAUAUACUGAAAUUCUGACCUUAAUUAAUCCUCAAUUCUGUCCAGGAUGUAUCAUUAUGCUUCAGGGAUCAUUCUGGAAUUUUACUAAAUUUUUAGGGUCAAAUCGUACUUUUUGUCAAAUUGGAGGACUAAAUUGAAAGUGUUAAAUUCUCUUAUCUAUACAGUAAUUCUGUCCAUAAUUCAUAUGUUAUUCUGUUCAGAAUCUCGGAAUAUGCUCCAGGGACCAAUUUGUAAUUUUCCAAAGUUCGGGGACUAAACUGUAAUUUUCGGAAAUUGAGGGACCAAAUUGAAUUUUCGUCAUCUUCAACCUCAACCCAGAAUUUUAACAGAUCAACUGUUAUCCCCUGAUUUCUAACACAAUUUCACCAUUCAAACAAAACAUAACUCAAAAUCAUCAUAAUCUUCCAUAAUCAACUAAAUCAUCAAUUAAACACAACAAUCAACCUAACCUUCAAUUUAAUUCAUCAAUUUAAACAAAACACAAAUUCUCAAAACCCUAACAUUCAUCAAAACUGAAAUUAAAGCUUAAUUAACAUAUUAUACACAUUAAACAACCUAAAUCUUACCUUUUUCACUUAUUUCCUCCAAAUCUCUUCCUUUUUCUCUUAUUUUCCCUUCUUUUCUCUUCUUCUUCUUUCUCCCUUCUCUCUCACGGUUUACUCUUACUAUUUCAAAUCUCACUUUCCUUUUUUUUUCUUUUUCUUUUUUUACUUUAUAUUUAUAUUUAUCCAUUUUUGUUCAAUUAGCAUAAUACCCCUUAUUCAUUUAUUCCAACUUUUAAGCCUCCAAGGGCUUUGUUGUAAUAUCCUAUCUUAUUAAUUUCAAAACAUUACAGAUGUGGUUCAAGAGUUUCUCUGAUAUCUACUUAGUUUGUUCUGAUAUAUUGCAUCUACAGACGACUAGGGUUAUUUUCUAUUCUGUUGGGUACUAUCUUCCUAAGUACCUUCCAGAAGGACUUGCAUAUAUACUUUUAAUUUUGCAAAGCUUGGCAUGUCUCGGAAGGGUUCUGGUCCAAAAGAGCAACGAGGAGAAGGAAGCUUGCGUAUGCUUUCAUACUUUCAAAUGUGAAACUAUAUUCCUUUUGAACUUCAGAUCGAGUUUAUUUGAGGAAAGCAGGGACCCUCGUGCGCAUCGUUGGAAUUUU
rnacentral:lncRNA from 1 species